GUCUCGGUUGGUUACUAUGCAAUACCAGUGAGCGAAGAAAACAGUCGCUGCUAAGCAGUCUUGAAUUGUGGUGUACGUUCUUGUGACAUGGAAUUUCUACCCUACAGAAGACAACUACGCAAUUUCCGUUGGGAUAUUUGUUACUGGAAAGAAAAGAAUUGGUGAUAUCUGGUCUAGUUGAUGGACCGAUAUCGACGGUAUCCUUUAUUUUGUUGCUGUUCCUCACCUGCCACCUUAGAAAACGAGCAGUCUUUGUAUUCCACUUCUUACUUGACUCAGUGCCUUUACUGGCAAACAGUAUCGGACUAGCAGAUAAGAAAAGGUAAGGUAAUUGGCCCAACAAACACAAAAAUAUAUUUAUUUUUUCACGUCACCUCCUUUUAGCUUAAACAAAGUUCAGACAUCACCUCUUAAUUGUUGGAAGGCUGCCGUCCCAAGUCUAGGAACGUAAAAUAACUCGAGGGGACUAAAUCUGGCAAAUAUAUACCGAUUUUCCUCAGUUUUUUCAGAGGUUUUCCUACAAAACUUCUUGCGCUAUUACAUCGCUCUCAUUUGAGGUUUAAACCCCACGUUACAAAAGUUUUCGCGCUCGCAUUUUCAUAUCCUAAUUGUGAUGACUUUAAGAAGUGGCGUUUGGUGAUGUACUAAGUUGGGGCCGCCAGUUUACAAGCUGAAAUGGCGCGCACCUUAUCGAUCCUGUUUUUUUGUAGCCAGCUCCAAGUCUAUUAGUUCUCAUCAAUCAGAUGCUUCAAAUUUGACCAGUUUUCACUACAGAUUCCUCUCUAAUAGAGUAUUUUCUUUCUUCAAAAAAUACCCAAAAUUUGUUGAUUUUGAUUUCCUGUACGGUAUUGUACGUUAUGUACCUCAACUUUUAUUUUUUCCAAACUAUCUCUUCGGACAAACGAAAUUUUAACAAGUUUUCAAAACGUGUCAAGAAAGCGUCGAAAGAAAAGGUCUUGUCACGUCCUUUUCAAUUCAUUUAAUCACCAAAUAUGAAAACCUAAAUAAUAAUUUGUCAAAAAUUCUAUAUAUUAUUUGAAAAUUGAGUUAAUAUCACAUCUCUAAAAAACUGAAAUAAUUCAAGUGCAAGGGACAUUAUAAGACACCAAAUAUAACUCCGAAUUGAUUACAAUAUAUGUGAAAAAAAUUAUUUUUAUUCAAAUAAGACGAAAUCGUAUCAUUUUGUGGUAAAAUCGAGUCAACACGAUGGACAUUUUACACUAAGGAAUCGGUUCUUUCGCGACUGAUUUGUUUCAUGGAUCGAGGGGACUUAACCUAUACCUAUACCAUAAAAACCAUAUAUUUUCCGUAUGUCUUCGUUUCUUCAUAUUUCAAAUUCAAUUUCUUUAUUUUUUCUUUAUGGCGGAAAACAUCUUAUGAUGUCUGAACUAAAUACGAAUACAGCAACAGCAUAGAAUCCUACAGCUUUUUUAUUGAUUUAUAAAGUCCGCGUUUUUGUUAUGGAUUGGAUAAAAAUGAUUGUUAUGUAAAUAAAUUUUAGAUUACGAGGUCUGGCUAUCAAAUAACGAGCCUAGAGGGCGCCCUAGACGGGUGGGGUAUCUAAAUAUCUUGUCUAUGUACGUCCCAAUCUCAAAUUUCUCGUUAAAUUGAAAAUAACUGCAACUGAGUGCUAUAAAUUGCUGCAAGAAGCCUAUGUGGACAAUUCUCUAUCUCGUGCGCGUGUUUUUGAGUAGUGUAACCGUUUUAGUGAUGGCCGAGAGUGCACUGAAGAUCACCAGGUUGCCCUGUGACUGUUUUAACUCCGGAAACAGUGACCAAAAUCAACCAAAUUAGAUCGUCGAAGUUGGUGCCAAAAAUCUGACUCCUGACCAAAAGCUGUUACGUCAACGGGUCUGCUUCAUAUUUCCUUGAAAGGUUAGGAAAAGAUCUGCUUUGAAAGGGACCCCAUUUGAGUCGAUGGAAGCGGCAAAACAAAAAAAUACAGAGCUCCUGAAGGCACUCACCAAAGAAGACUUCCAGCACUGCUGCGAUCAAUGGAAAAAAUGUUUGGAAAGGUGUGUGGCAAGGGGAUGGGAGUUUAUUGAAGGGGGGCAUUCGAAUGUAGAAUAAUUUUUAUAAUAAAACCCUUUUUCGUAACCAGUAUCGAUAUUUAUUAUAAAAACUUUUACAUUUCAAUUUAAUAUUAUCGUUUUGGCGGGUUUAUCAGUACAAUUUUUGAACAUUCAAGAACAAAUUAAUUAAAUCAAUUGUGGAAAUAUCCAAAUUCAAUUUUCCCAACCUCACAAAAGUGCUCGAAUAUUUAAUUUUAUUCACUUUUAUCAAAAAAACCAAUCGAAAUUUGUAUCAAAACGUUAAAUAGAUGUAGGUAUUGACUUUACGAAACACCGCGCGUAUUUAUCACGUUUUCGUAGUUUCCCGAGCGGAAAAGCGGAGAAAUCGAUGAAAAUUGUCUUAGACGAAGCUUUUAACGAACAACUGUGCGGUUUGUGGUAAUCGGACUAAUUACGCGGAGCUUGAUAAAAAGUUAAAUUUCUAGAUGUAAUGAACGUACGCCACUGUAUAAAUAAGUUAGUGACAUUUAAAGAGAGUUAUUGCGAUAAGAAAAUGAAGAAUCACGCAUUCAACGUAAAUAUUAUCUAAUAUGAUAACAACAAAAAAGUGAUAAUUCUAUAUAGCGGAAGUUGCGGCGCCAACAACGGGUCAUAAUUACAUAACUGAAAAAAAAAAAAUGUUUAUUCGCGUUAUUCCUGCAUUUCAUAAUCAUCCGUUUUGAUACAACGAAUUCGUUUUUAAUGUGUGGUAAAUUUUUUGUAUGCAGAAAAUCAUUUCUUAACGACUUCAGCUAAAGAUAGGACUGGGCUACGGGAAGGUCAUGGAAUAUAUCCUCAAUUGGGGAGAGUACGAUUUCCGCGGCGAUUUAACAGCUUAAUUAGGCCAAAAUAAAUCGAAAAUGAAGAAUGAAAUUUUUCGAUAUAUCGCUUCGUUUUCGAGAUAUCGAUACUUAAAGUUUGAUAAUCAAAAGUUAGUUCAAAAUUGGCUUU